rnacentral:rRNA from 1 species
AGUAGUUUGAUCCUGGGCUCGAGGACGAACGCUGGCGGCGUGCCUAACACAUGCAAGUCGAGCGGGGACAUGCGACGGAGUCAAAGUUUUCGGAUGGAGACGAAGAUGUAUGUUCUAGCGGCGGACGGGUGAGUAACGCGUGAGCAACCUGUCCUUCACAGGGGGAUAACACAGCGAAAGUUGUACUAAUACCGCAUAAGACCACAGGGAGACAUCUUCCAGGGGUCAAAGGAGCAAUCCGGUGAAGGGUGGGCUCGCGUCCGAUUAGAUAGUUGGCGGGGUAAAGGCCCACCAAAACCGACGAUGGGUAGCCGACCUGAGAGGGUGAUCGGCCACAUUGGAACUGAGAGACGGUCCAAACUCC